UGAUAUAUAUAUAUUUUUUUUAUUCACAGAUGUGGAAAAGAAUGGAAGGGAAACCGUUGUCACAUAAGUGCUAAGCCUCUUCAAUCUCUCACUUCAAGUCUCCUUCGAAAUGAUAUUUGGAUUGGGUUGGGGAUCAGUUUCUUGCUGAUUAAAAUUGCAGUUGGUGCCUUAUGUUUCCUGUCAAAGAAGAAAGAGCACAAAAUGAAAGUAGAGGAAACCAUAAAUACUUCAUUUGUCAAUCCAUUGUAUGAAGAUCUUAGUUCAUCUGGAAAAGGAAAGUCUCGUGGAUACACUACUUCACCUGCUGUUCAAGUCAGUGUUUCUCCAUGGCAUGAGUAUCCAUUUAAUGAAGGUGAGAAUACUACCUCUUUUUCAAAUCCUCUCUACGGUGAGCCAUCAGGAGACAUGGAGAAAUUAUGCAGUUCCUUGAAAAUAGACAGAAAAUGGGAUUAAUAUUGUAGAUGACAUAUGACUCUUUGUCUGAAGAUUUGUUCCAAAAUCUGAAAGUAUGCUAUGAUCCUGCAGCAUUUGCAAUAUGAAUAACACUCCACAGAAUAAAUCUUUUAUUAGAAUAAUUAUGUUCAGAAAGUAAUAUUACAUUAAAAAUUGAAUCAAUAAGCAUAUGUAGAAAAAUAUAGAAAGCCAAAUUUAUAUAUAUCUACUCUUUCCUACUUCUGUUGGUGCAGAAAUUGAUUAGUAAUUACAACUAUGAAUUCAUUUUACAUUUGGACAAUUCAAAUGCCACUAUGUUAAUAAAAUGUUUAAUCAAAUCCAGAUUCCUGAAGUCUAAUAAUCAUAAUUCUAUAUCUAUUAUUUGGGAAAUGAUGACUUAAAUAUUUCUGCAAUUCUAUAUUAGAAAUAGAUUUUAAAUGGCUGUUUUAGUGUUCCAAGGGGCAGAAGUAAAAGAAAAGUCUUUGUGUAAUUAGAAACAUAUCGAGAUAAAUCAAAAUGGUCACAAAUUUGAGUAUCUGCUCAGUAUGUAAUUCAGCAAUGUGAUACAAUGGUAUAUACCCUUAUUUUUAAAAGUAGAUUUAUUAUUAACCUUGAAAGCCACAUCUGACCAAAUUCCAUUCUGGUCAGAUCUACAGUGGUUACCACAGUGCUACCAAUGUACAUAGCUUAGUGGUUGACAGAAGAUAGCAACUAGUAUAUUCAGGUAGCUUAUUUCUGCCAAGUAAGCUGACCUCCCACAUAGCUGCAACUUAUGUCCUCACAAGACUACAUGGCGGGAAUUCUAGUUCAUCUCCUGAAUUUGAAUAUCAUCCUCUGCAGUAUAAGAUAUAGCUUACUCUUUAAAUAACUUGAAUAUAUGUCAUCUUCCAUAAUGCCCACUAGAAUUAUCUAGUGGUCAUUUUCAGUUUGAAGGCUUAAAUGUUUCUGCAGUGCCUACAUGACUACAUUUUAACAGUCUACUUAAUUUUAAACCUAGUGGAAAGCUUAAAAGAUACAAAACUACUUCAGAUUUUUCAGAUAAAAUAAGCUUUUUGGAUGCAGACAUUAUCUCUGUUAGUUCAGGUAAUAUUGAAAUGCUUGACAUUUAUUUGACUUUUCAGUCUCCCCACAGAAGAGCAUGCUGAAGGCUGGCUUCAUUCCAUAAUGCAUGGGACUUCUUGGUUUUGGGUGUGUUGUUGUUGUCUUGUUCGUCUUUCACGUUUUCUUAAUAAUACAGUGGAACCUCAGAGCUCUGUACCUGGGACCACAGAAAUACUUUUCAAUUUUUUUUCUUACAUAAAUGACAUGAUGUUUCCUGGGUAGCAGAAGUAACAAAGCAUGAUUCUUAUUGAUACCUCUCCAUCAUCCUCUUCACACCAUUCUGACAAUAUGCUUAGAAUCACAGAAUAUCUCAAAUUGGAAGAGACUCACAAGGGUCAUCUAGUCCAGCCCCUGGCUCCACAAAGGACCAUGCAAAAUUCAGACCCUAUGUCUGAGAGCAUUAUUCAAAUGCUUCUUGAACAUCAGCAGCUUUGUGCUAUGACCUCUGCCCUGGGGAGCUGUUCCAGGGUCUAACCACCCACUGAUGAAGAACUUUUUCCUAAGACUCAACCUGACCAUCCCCUGACUUAAGUCCAUGUGAUUCCCUAAAGUCCUAUUACUGGUAAGUGAUAGGUGAUGACUUUGUGCUGCAUUGUAAAACCACAUUUCACUUACCUCUCUCUUCUGUAAACUCCUCACUUCUUCACCAGGCUCUAUAGCCUACCUACCUUAAAGCUGUGUCAUGACCUUGUUCCCCUAAAGUGUCCUAACAACAGCCAAAAAACAAGAAGCAUUAGCCACUAUGCCUGGCUCAGAGGAGCACGAGUGCUCAUCAGCUGCUGCACAUUUGCUGGUUGGCCAGCUGGCAGCACACUGCUACUUCUCCCACUCUGUACCCUGAAACUGGACUGCUAUUUCCUGCUCCUCUGCUGAUUUUAAUGAAGACAGUCAGAGCAUCACACCUGGCGGUCACACACCUGCCUUAAUGCCAAAUUUAGUUGGAAGUAAAAGGUAGACCAAAACCAUAAAGGUAUUCAUGGAGGUUUUUUAAUAAGGAACCACAGUAACUCAUGCUGUUUUCCUUUUGCAAUGAUUAAUAAGACAGAAAUAUGGAACUUGCUCACUAUACUUGUUAAGUUGCUCUACAGAGGAAAGACAUAACACAGCAAAGUGCCAGGUGCCUCCAGCUCCCGAACUCUCUGAUAUUUUGAUUAAAUCUGUGUGAAAUGAUUGUUUUCACCAUCAUAAACAGGCAUUGAACAUUCCUACAAGAUCAAACCCAUGCAGUCAAAUUUCCAUUUAUUCUGCAAUAGACAGACAGUGCUUUCAUUAAACACUUAAAUGCUGGUUAUACCAUUGUCUUUAAAUCUCCAAGCAUUGUGUCCUCUUAUGUCUUUCUGUUAAAAAAAAAAAUAAUAAUAAUAAAAAAAAAAAUUACAUUAGUAACAAGGAAAAAAUCAGUAUUGCCAGAAUUUAUCACAUUAUCCUUUAUGAAACAAAAUAUAUAUAUUAUUAAUUUUACUCAUAUUUUAAUGUUGUAUAUAGAAGCAUAUGAUAAAGAACUUAUGAAAUAAUUCAAAGAAUAUUAUAUUCCUCAUCAGCAGCUGUUUCCUGAGAGAUUGUCACUAUGCUCUAUUAUUUCUGAAGCAAGAGAAAAACAAAUUAUUGGUCUUUUACCAGAUUAUUUUUCUUUUCUACCUAUAUAGAAUAUUUUUGAAGAAAUUGUUAACAUUCAGAGUUUUCAUCUUCCUGAGCUUCAAUAAUUUUUCACAACAAAAGAGUCACUCGUAUCCAUUGAACAGUAAUGGUCUUACAUCUAACAGCUGAAUAACAGCCCAACAAUGAAAUGUUUGCUUAGAGAUGAAAAUUAGUUUUUGUUUCAUUUUUGGAAACCUGGAAGUACUUUGAACCAAAGCAGUAGAAUUCAUAUUUUCAUUCACCCUUGCUACAAUUUGACUUCUUAAUAUCUAAAGAGAAUGUCAAGGACAAAUAAUUUCUUAAAUAUUUAUGCAUAGGUUUCUUACUUCUCCUAGUCGAUAAUAGUCCUUGACUAAAUAGCCUCUUUAUACUCAUGCUGCUAAUGUUGUAAAUUCCGCAUAGUAAAAGUGAAUUGCUUCCAACAGAGGCUUGUUUUCCUGGAGUAUUUUGAAGUUGGUUAUUUUAGCCAGAUGAUGAAUUGUGUAUUUAUUCUAGUUUAAACUUGUUUGUACACUAAUGAUUCAAGAUAACAGAAGAAAUAAAUUGCAAGACAAAACUUUUAACAAAACUUAACGCCUCCUGCAAUGUGGUCGGUACGUGCCUUUUAGAGUUGUUUUAGCUCCCUGAAUAUCAGAGUGGUAGAGAACAUAGUCCCUUGAUUUUGAUAAAUUCAUCAAAACAAAGUAUAGUUAUGAUUCAUUUCGACAAACAUGUUUUGUACACAAAUAACCAGAUCCUGACCUUGAUGUUCUAAUAACUUGUGAUGGUCCAGUAAUUUUUUUUCAAACACAAAGUAAUGCUUCUGGCUUAGCUGUUCCAUCCUGCAGGGAACUAGAAGUCUGCUUAGAAAGGAUUAUCAUCUUUGCAGCCUGUUCCAGUGCUUGCCUUGCCAUUUGUCAUUGACCACUUCUUUGCAAUUUUGAAAAUCAUGGGGAAGGGGAGAAAGAUCUUAACUCCUCUUUACCUUAAGAAACUUUAAGUGCAAACUGGUGGCUAUGUGCUCUCCUCCUUGCCAGUAAAGAGGGGCUUGGAGCUUGCUCUGAGCUUCCCACUGGUCUCAUUGGUUGAAUUGUUUUAGACUUAACAUCAGUGCUUUGUACUGCUAUCUCAUUUCAUAUUCCUGUAUCCAUUGGCCACUGUAAUUGUAAAUGAAGUUCCCACCAAUGCAUUCUGUGUAUUUGCUGAUGGUGCCUUUCUUGGGUGCCCUUCUUUUUGUCCAUAUUACUUCUAAAAAGAACCAUAGAUUAUAAGAGAAGACCCUAGACGGUAUCCAAGAACAUAACAUUUCUGACUGAGUGUUCAAGAAGUCAGAAUGAAAUGUACAGGAUGAACUAAAAUAGAUCAUGUUGUGAUGCUGUCCUCUGGCCUUCUAUGGAUCACAAACCAAAACAUAUUUGAUUCCCAACAUAUAUUACUGUAAGAACUAGAGAAAAAUCCAUUUUUUCAAAUGUAUAUCUCUCCUUUUUAACAUUUCUUCAUAAAAGCAGUUCAUUUGUCAUUUUGUUUUUGAGCAAGGUCAAUAGAAUAUGCUUUGGAGAAGAACUGGUUAAGUUCUCAGAAAUGUUUAAGCAAUAGCAUGAAACAAAAAUCAUUAUCAGCUACAAGGGCGGGUGGGUAUUCUACUUUUCCAAUGAAAAUAAGAGUCUGAGACAAGUCAGCAGGCAUGCUCGACUGGGUUAAAUGGGUAUAACAGAGAGAAAUGAGCACAAAUUAUUCAUGGGAAUUCUUUAAUCUUCUGUUUAAUUAUGUGAUCAUUCCUAGAACAAAGACUUUGAUUGAUCAUAAUGGCAAGAAAAUGUCAAUUUGCACUCAGCACAGUGAUUAGCAUACAGCUACAGAGAACAAAAAAAAAGUGAGAAUGUAGUGUUUUAAUAUUUUUUGCAUGUUUUAAAAGUUUGGGAUGCUAACUCUAAAUAAUUUAGAGGCUGUUAUAAAUAUUCUCCUCCAAAGAAAGCUGUUUUCAUUUUAUUCUUCUUUUCAGUCUUUGAGUCCUACUUUUUCAAGUCACUCAUUUUUCUUUAUUCAAAAAUUUUAUGCUGUUCAUAAAACAGUAUAAUUCUGUGAAAAGUAUUUUAUGUUAUAUAUGGCAUGUGAAUUUGCAAAGCUUUAGUCAACAUUAUUAUAAUUUUGAUAGCUAAGACUCUGAAUACGAUUAAGUGAGCAGUAAGGUAUGGUUACUUCAGAAACAUGGUGUAUUGAGAACAUUAACAUUAGUAAUCUAUUUGGUAUUCACAUGGAUAUGUUAGCAAGAAGUGGACAUUAAUAAGCACUACAUUACAAUUGGCCUAUGAUGAAACUGUGUAUUAUAGCUACAUUAGUAGUUAAAGUAUUCAGCAUGAUUCAUGUAAAGUGUUUUCUGGGAAUGAAUAAUAAAGUGCUUUUUUUUCUUGUAAAAUGGGGCUUUGUUCAUUGUAACAACAUGAUGAAUCGUGCAGUAAAUGCAGAGGUAAGUAGGACUCUCAGGGUUAUGUGCUACCCUGAGCUUAUAUGCAAAAUCUCUAGUGACAUGAAGUAAAUCAUAAGGAUAAAGGAGUAACCUCCAAGGUACUUUAAAACCUAAGCACAAAUAUCUGGAAGAGAAAAGGAAUUAAAUUUUUCUGCACUUCCUGUUUAUCUGCUUUAUUCAGCUUUUUGGGUUGCUUGUUUUUUUGCUUUUGCAAUAGAUGUGGUUUGUAGAGACAGGAAUCAUGACAGACUGCUUUAGUUUGGGGUUUAAAAUUCAUGCAAACACAUGUCCAAAGUGCCAGGAUUGUUGCAAAGAUCCACAAUGCUAUAGAACACACAAAAACAUAUUUAAUGACUCUCUUAACUAGUGAAUUCAAAUUCAUCAAAAAUGUUUGAGAAAAAAAGAAAAAAUAGUCUACAUAAAUUCUCCUACAUUUAACCCUUUUAUAUAAUUUGCUUCGGGUUUCACAACAUUCAUUUAAUAAUGUGUGAUUAGUGAGAAAAUAUUGGUAUGUCUGUAUUUUAUACUGUGAAAUUAUUAACUACAGAAGUAGUAGAGUGCCACCAGAAAGGGAACACCAUGCCACUUUUCCAUUUCCUUUAUGUUAAAAUAUUAAAUGCUUUAUGUAGGACACAAAACAGAUUUAUAGGAGGAGCCUGUAUAUCACAAUAUCCUUCUCUGACACCCACGUGACAUGUUUGAUACUGCCAGCACUGUAAAUCACAUAGACAGCCUUUAAGUUUAACAAAGACAUAUCACUAUUCCCUUAGAGCCAUACUUUUUUGAUGAUAGCACUCGCUACUUUACGCAGCAGCCAACAGAACUCUGUAUCAAACCAGAUCAUUGUGUGAGCAGAAAGCAAAUGUGCAAGUUUUCAAUUUUAAAACCACUUCUGCUGCAGUACAGACACAACAAUGCUUGCUUUCAAUAGCUAAGGGGAAAAAACACAGAUUAAUAGACAUACCAGUCAAAUUGCUGUAAUUUCCAAUCCAGUAAAACAAUGGUAAACGGCCCAAAGGAAAUGCCCAAAAUAUUUUAUUUCAGUAAUGUUGAUAGUGAAUUGCACAUUGGGAACUUUUAACCUUACUGAUUAAAUUUAAAAAGGAGAAAACAAAAUGCCACUGUUGCUAAAGGUACCUUGUCUGGUGGCUAGAUUUAGGCAGCAAUGUUUGAGAGGACAAAUUCAAUCUGUAUAUGUUCAACAGCUUUCUGUAUAAUUCAUGUCCUAAGGAUCUAAAUUGUAAAUUAGCUGGUUUAAAUUUCAUUUAUGCAUAAUGUAGAACUAUUUGCUGUUCACGCUUACAUUUGUGCAUUUUAUGAGUUAUAUGUAUGUAUUUUAUACCAAUAUGCAUUUUAAAUUUUAUUUUGGGGUGCAUGUUAAAUGCAAUUUCAAGCGGUAGCCUAAUGAAAAGAAAUAUUUUGUUUGAUUACUAUUUAUUUAAUGUUAUUUUCUUUUAAUUAUUUUGUUAUGCCAUAAGAUUUUCUCUAUAAUGUUUCAACAUAAAGUAAUGCUUCACAUUGUUGCUGUUAAACACUAAUGGCAGACCUUAAAGAACAAUAGAAAUAGAUCAUGAAGUUAUCUGCAACAUAUAAUUACACAUUCAAUGACCCAGUCUGUGCUGUAUUUCUGCACAAUGUAUUUGCAAUUAAUCAAAAGGAGUAGGUAUACUAGUUUUGAAACUAACACAAAAAUACCAGUGAAUCAUCCAUCAAGCCUUCCACCAACCCUAUUCCAACAAAGUAGAUAGCUCAUGCACCAUUUUAAAUACACUGGUAAUUCCAGAGCAGUCCUAUAAUAAAUGAGGUUAUACAAAUGGUUUAAGACAAGCAUAGCCAUGUUGUUGUUUGUUUUUUUUUGUAUGAUUGGGAUCAACAUGGGUUGACAAAAGUACUUUUCUAAAAAGAUAUCAUACUCUAAUUGGUGAUGAUGUAAAUGGAUGACAAUGGAUAUUCUUAAAUGUCAAAAGUGUUCUGUAAUAAGAGUGGCAUUAAUGAGAAAAUAUUAAUGCGCAAGCUCAGAAACACAAAAUUCUACACUGUUCUUUUAUGAAAUUAACUUUCUGUUAGUAGCAAUGGAUAAAUAUUGGCAAGUUUAACUAAUCCCCUAAAAGCUGGCAUGCCUGUCAACUUCCCAUUAAUAUCUAUAAAAUAAUUAUCCAUGCAAGUUUUAGUUAUGAAGAGAAAUAAUUAAAUGAAAAAAUUCAGACCGGUUCUACAGAAGGGAGUAACUGAAAUUUUUAAGCACCCAUCUAACUUUUAAGCAUCUGGUGAAAGUAAUUGUUUAAGCUUUACUGGAAAACAUCCUUAAAUUUCACUGCUGUAAUUUACCUCUUUACUGCCUUUAGCACUAGGUGUCUGAGCUAACCUAAUGACACAGAUACUGCUCUCCAGCUCAUCUUUCAGUCUCAGAUCCCUGAAAGGGGGCUUGAUUUCUGGUUCUUAGCCUUCAUACAUUUUCAUUAGUGAUCCCUUGAAAGAAAAUGUGUCUUCUCAGGAGCCAGGACCAGUCUCCCAGUCACCAUAACGGACUUAAAGAGAAUGAGUUUGUUAUAAAAAAAUAUAUAUGUAUAUAUAUAUCUCUCUAGGAAAGAAUAUCUGUGCUAUGAAACCAAAUUUUGUUAUUUGGUUCAGUAAAUAAGCAUGUAGCCAUGUGCUACAUGGCUCUGUUCUCUUCCUUCUCAGGAUUUCUCAGCAGUUGGCCUGACUGCUUCUCCUGAGUGGUCUACCAAUUAGAUUGCAUCUUCGUCUGUGCCCGGCUUACUUUGUUUUCCUUACAGGGACAUUUAGUUGGUGAAUUUCCCCCAGACAUUCACCAGCGCAGUGUCUCGCCCUUUGCAUACCCCUGCUCCACUGGGAUGCUAAUCAUGAGUCUGCACUGAAAGGGUUUGUCCAAGCCCACAGAAGAAGCACAGAGUUGAAUUUUCUGGGCUUAUGGUAUAUACACUCUUUCUUUCAUGGAAAAAGUGCAUUUUUUUUCAAGUGGUCUUGGGUCCUGACUGAGCUGACCAUACACUAGGGUCUGUACGUACAAGAUGCUGAAACAGUAACCACAGUGCUUUGCUUUGGCUCCUUUGAGCCUAACGUCUGCAAAAGACCACAAACCAGUGAAAGACCACUUUCCCUUGAUUCUCAUCGUCUAUAAAACUGCUGUCCUCAGCUAACAUCAUCAGCAGACACAGCUGAACAAAGAUUUAUCUGAGUAGUAAUAAAUGACAUCAUAUUUUUCCCUAACACUUGUAACUUAAAGAUGUGUCUUUGUUGCUGGAAUAAAUAACAUGGGGAUGCUAAUAUCUGCAAAUGAGAAUGUAGAUAAGAUGAUGUAUGUAUUUUUACAUCUAUUUAUUAGUACAGUACAGAUGUGCAGAUUGCAUUAAUAAGCAGAGUUAAUUUAAUGUAUUAUAUACAGUCCACCAAAUUUUGGAGUGAUUUCUGCAGAGGUUAAAGAUCUCACCUAAGACAAGACUGCAUCCAGUUAUAAUUUUUUAAAAUGUAUUUGGAGAUACUGUGCUAGCAAUAUUCUUAAUUGAAGAUUUUCUUACAGUGUCCAGAAAGUAUCAUUAUUCACCUUCAGUGUUGAGUAGCCAGAUAUUUUUUCUUAUGUUAAUUAGUUCAUAAUGGUAAAAAAGGGGAUUGGAACCUAACUGUAUGAUACUGUAUAAGGAACAGCUCUCCUAAAUGGUACAUUUGAUGCCCUUUUUAAAACCAAAAUGUCUUAAAAGUACUCAGAAAAAAAAAAAGGAUUCUUUUUUAUCAUUGAUAGAUAUAUUCUUCUUGUUCUGUUUCUAAACUUAGAGUACAUAUAUAAUAACUUUCACAGAUAGAAGAAAUUUGCACACGCUUUUACACUUUAAAAUGCAAUUACUUUUCUGACAGCUUUUUAAAUACAUGAUCAAUUUGGCUGAGAUCUGGGGAAAUUGCUUUGUUUUCAUAACUACAGUAAUCAAUCAAAAAGUAGAAUGAGAUCUUUUAUCAUUGAUAUUUCAGGGCAAUGGCCAAAAAAAAUUGAUAGCUGAAAUUCUCUUUAGUAAAUAUUUUACUACACUUUUCUCCCUGAAAUUCAAACAUGCUUCUUUGUGAUCUGCACAGGUGUAAAGAUGGUUGUAUCUGAUAGCAAGAAAUGACUACUGGCAACAGUACCCACAUAGGUCAGACAAAGGAUGCCUUUGUAAGACCUCUUUUCUUGCUACUUUAAUAUUUCAGCCAUAGGUAGGUCUUUAUAUAGAACAUGAGUGAAAUUAUAUAACUUUUCAGGUUACUUUUGUCAGACAGUUAGAAACUUCUCACCAUCAGUUGGAAUUAUCAAAGACUGUCAUGAAGAAUAAACACUUCAUACAACAGAAGAAGUGCUGAUAAUAUCCAACCUGCUCUUCUCCCUCUUUCCCUUCCACUAAGAAACUAAUGAGGGGCAGCUGUUAUAAAAGACUGCAAUUCAGCCUGUGGGAAAGUGGUAGAGGUGGGGAAUAAUAGAUGUCUCUUGUGGUUGGAAGGAUUUAGUAGCCCUAGGGAGGCAAUACCUUGCUCGUGGUAGGAGACAACAGUAAGCUAGCGCAGAUUGUAUCCUGGAGGAAAGGAUGAAGUAAUGUAUGGUUUUACCUGCAAGAUGUGAAAUGGUGACUCUGAGAUCAAAAGACUUAUAGAAAUAAUCUGUGCUGAAUUCUAAGUUACUCAAUAACAUUCAGAGGCUUUUUGUGUUAUGUGUGUGGGUAGGGAGGGAUUGUUAUGCAGACAUCCACAGAACAUGUUUUCAACACUGAUGUUUGCUUUUGGUAUCCAUCCUGAAUUAUUUUAUAUAUUUUUAAAGCGAGUUUAGGCUUUAAUGACUGCUUUUAAGCUUAUAUUUAUGUUUUUUCUUGAUUUAGGUAAGAAAAAAAUGUUCAGUUUGUUUUUUUCUCACCUCAGAAGUCUCUCUUCAGCAUUUUUUCCAACAACAAUCUACACUGUGCUGUCACACUGUCCUGAGUUCCAGGCCAAGCCAAAUUCUGCUAUCAGUUGCACCACUGAAAUGAUGAGGAAACGCUGAUCCUGGUGAUGAAACACUUGAACUGUGGAAAGCAGUUUUGAUUUGUAUCUAUAGUGGUGUUGUUUUUAUUCAAAUAGCUCUUGUGGCAGUUUACUUUUUCCAGUUGUGUAGUAAAACACUUUUACUGUGGUUGGCUUAAUUCUCAAAGCUUUAAAAAAAAAAAAUCAAUUUGUUUCUUUGUACUCAGUAUACUGGAGCUGAAAGCUGUUAUGUACUGUUACUUCAGGGUCACUGCUUAACUUCUGUUCACCCUCUUGUCCAUGAAUAUUCCCUUGAGUUCAUUACAGCAAUCUAGUUCCUGGACUUUUUUUAAUGCAUGAGCUUAUAUAUGGUUCUUAAAUAACUGCUAUCAGAGUUGUUAAGAACAAUGAUUGAUCUUAGGUCAAAAACAAUUUACCACAUGCAGGAACACAAUCCAUUACACACUUCACAUGAAUACCCAUUGUACUGCAAAGUUUAUGAGGAGAAAGAUGUGAAUGUUACAGACAGAGCAAUACAAAAUAAAGAAAAACAGGUAGAGAACUGCAUAGCACAGAUCAGACAUACUAGCAAUUACUAUUCCAUCCUUUGGGACAAUUCUGAGUUAAGUACCCACUGUUGUACAUCAUAGCUUUUUUUCUGCGAGAAGAGGAAUAUCAGGAAGGUUCAAAAAUUCUGAUGGAUGUGCAGAUUUCAGCAAACACUAAGUCUGAAAAAUUAUUGGAAACGAACUUUUCUUGCUACAGGGAGAUCUUUAAGAGCUACUUAAAUUAGUGCAAGGGAAUGGGAGAACAGCACUGAAGGCAGCCCAAGGUUCCUGUCCAAUCUUCCAAGGAAAUGGUUGGCUGAAGGAGAUCCUUUCAGGUAGCCCUUGACAGAGCUGAGGAUAGCAAUCUACACUGCUUAUCUCUGUUGCUAAAAGUUAGUAUCUUACUUUUUUUUUU